UGGGUAACCUGCCUCUGAGAUUGGGAUAACCUGUCGAAAGACGGGCUAAUACCAAAUAAGACCACGACUUCCUCGGGAGUUGAGGUCAAAGGUAGCCUCUAUUUAUAAGCUAUCGCUCGGAGAUGGGCCCGCGCACCAUUAGCUAGUUGGUGGGGUAAUGGCCUACCAAGGCAAAGNUGGUUAGCUGGUCUGAGAGGAUGAUCAGCCACACUGUAACUGAGACACGGU
rnacentral:rRNA from 1 species